rnacentral:rRNA from 1 species
UUGGAGGGCAAGUCUGGUGCCAGCAGCCGCGGUAAUUCCAGCUCCAAUAGCGUAUAUUAAAGUUGUUGCAGUUAAAAAGCUCGUAGUUGAACUUCGGGGUCUACCCAUUGGUCAGGCUUAAUUGUCUGCACUGGUGAGAUGGAUCUCUACCUUCUGAGGAACUUUCAUGCCAUUUAUUUGGUGUGGUUGGAAAUCAGGACUGUUACUUUGAAAAAAUUAGAGUGUUUAAAGCAGACUAUCGUCUGAAUACAUUAGCAUGGAAUAAUGAAAUAGGACGGACUGAUUCUAUUUCGUUGGUUUCUAGGAUCACCGUAAUGAUUAAUAGGGAUAGUUGGGGGCAUUAGUAUUCAAUUGUCAGAGGUGAAAUUCUUGGAUUUAUUGAAGACUAACUACUGCGAAAGCAUUUGCCAAGGAUGUUUUCAUUAAUCAAGAACGAAAGUUAGGGGAUCGAAGACGAUCAGAUACCGUCGUAGUCCUAACCAUAAACUAUGCCGACUAGGGAUCGGACGAAGUUAAUUUUAUAAUGACGCGUUCGGCGCCUUACGGGAAAC